UAUUUUUUUAUAUAAGCCACUUAUAUAUAGAAUCCGGAAUUGAUUGACGUGAGAAGUCGCCAUUUGAUUACUUCUUUAUGUCUACUUACUCUUUAGCCCCGUACAAGCUACCAUAGCACGUGAAACUAAUUAGUCCAAAUGGCUACGACCACUACUACAACCACACGUGCGGCCUCCGACGACGAUCUCCACUCCCUCCUUUCCGAGCAGCGGCGAGAGCUCAUGGCUGCGCAAACCCUCGAAUCCGACCUCGACUUAGCCUUCCGCCUCCAACUCCAAGAAGCCGUCAACGCCUCCCUGUCUCUACUCCCUUCCUCGUCAACAUCACCACCGACUUCUCAAACACAAUCCUCGCCUUCGGUUAUUGUUAUCCCGGACCAAAACGACACCGUUCAGGCCUCUCUUUCUUCUCUCCAAUCUGAAGAAAUCUCCACGAUCGAACAAGAGUUGAAUGAUCGGAAACAAUCCGAACUCGAAAUGCGCAGAAUGAGAGAAGAUCUUGAUCGUAGAAUGCACGACCAGAAAGUCGCUGGGGAGAUCUUGAGAAUUCCGGACGACGAGUGGCUUGAGUGGGGUAAUAAUUUUGAGAAACCCUUCGGCGAGGGAAGCUCUAAAAGCGUCGAGAACAAUAGUAGCAUUUUCAAAUUGUAUUUCAAGGGUUUGGUGAGCGAAGAGAUGGUGAGGGACCAGAAGGUAAUUUUGGCUGGGAUUGGUGUAGCAAUUUGUGACCCAGAAGAUAAUUUGGUGUUCGAGAUAAGGAAGCCAUUGAUUGGGAAUGGAAUGAGCAGGCAGGCUGCAGAGGCUAAGGCUUUAAUUGAAGGGCUCAACGCGGCUCUUGCUCUGGAGCUCAAGAGGAUUGUGGUUUCUUGUGAUUAUUAUCCGCUUUAUCAAUUUGUUAUUGGAAGAUGGCCACCAAAGCAGCGCAAGAUUGCUACGUUGGUCAACCAAGUGUCUUUCCUUCAACAAAAAUUUACAUAUUGCAAUCCCACUCUUGUGGCACGCAAUGAUGUCAAAUAUGCUUUUAAACUUGCAAGAGAUGCAAUAGUUUCUCAGGUCACAAUUCCUGCAGAAUCAAGCUGUGGCAAGACUCUUCAGGAGACUUGUGUUAUCUGUUUAGAAGAUACAGAUGCUGAGCACAUAUUUUCAGUUGAUGGAUGUGGACAUCGAUACUGCUUUUCUUGUAUGAAACAGCAUGUGGAGGUGAAGUUGCUUCAUGGCUUGGUACCUAAAUGUCCUCAUGAAGGCUGCAAGUCAGAGCUCAGUGUUGACAGCUGCGGGAAGUUCUUGACUUCCAAAUUAAUUGAGACAAUGAACCAAAGGAUAAAAGAAGCUUCGAUUCCUGUUACAGAGCAAAUUUAUUGCCCAUAUCCCAAAUGCUCAGCA
rnacentral:misc_RNA from 1 species